rnacentral:rRNA from 1 species
UCGUCCUAUGUUGCCCAGCACGUAAUGGUGGGAACUCAUGGGAGACUGCCGGGGUCAACUCGGAGGAAGGUGGGGAUGACGUCAAAUCAUCAUGCCCCUUAUGUCUUGGGCUUCACGCAUGCUACAACGGCCAGUACAAAGGGCUGCAAUACCGUAAGGUGGAGCGAAUCCCAAAAGGCUGGUCUCAGUUCGGAUUGAGGUCUGCAACUCGACCUCAUGAAGUCGGAGUCGCUAGUAAUCGCAGAUCAGCAACGCUGCGGUGAAUACGUUCCCGGGCCUUGUACACACCGCCCGUCAAGUCACGAA